rnacentral:rRNA from 1 species
UGGGGAAUAUUGGACAAUGGGCGCAAGCCUGAUCCAGCCAUGCCGCGUGAGUGAUGAAGGCCUUAGGGUUGUAAAGCUCUUUCGCCGGUGAAGAUAAUGACGGUAACCGGAGAAGAAGCCCCGGCUAACUUCGUGCCAGCAGCCGCGGUAAUACGAAGGGGGCUAGCGUUGCUCGGAAUCACUGGGCGUAAAGCGCACGUAGGCGGAUCGUUAAGUCAGGGGUGAAAUCCUGGAGCUCAACUCCAGAACUGCCCUUGAUACUGGCGAUCUCGAGUUCGAGAGAGGUUGGUGGAACUCCGAGUGUAGAGGUGAAAUUCGUAGAUAUUCGGAAGAACACCAGUGGCGAAGGCGGCCAACUGGCUCGAUACUGACGCUGAGGUGCGAAAGCGUGGGGAGCAAAACAGGAUUAGAUACCCUGGUAGUCCACGCCGUAAACGAUGGAUGCUAGCCGUUGGGGGGUUUACCUCUCAGUGGCGCAGCUAACGCCUUAAGCAUCCCGCCUGGGGAGUACGGUCGCAAGAUUAAAACUU